rnacentral:tRNA from 1 species
CCCUGUGUGGCAUGGUGGUUUGAGUGUUGGACUACAACUCUGGAGACCAGGGUUCGAUUCCCAAUUUGGCCA